AUGGUUUGGCUUCUCGACGAUGUCUACGACACGAAACACCGGGCCUACAUGAUGCGCGAGAAGGAGAUGAAGCUUGAACCUUUGAAGAUUCGGUAUCACGGGGUCUCUGGUCCUGCCAUGCCUUACGAUGAGCGGUACACACCGUACAUCAAGCAGGCAGGACUACUCCCGUGGAUUCAGUUGGUCAGCCGGUCCACGCCGAAUCUGAACACUCCACUGAUGAUUGCUCUUAUCGGUAUGGCUCCUACUGAGGCUGAGGCUGAUGUAGAGGAGGGAGAAGAGAAGAAGAAGAGGGAAAGGAAAGCAGCCGGAGCUGCUUUCACGUGGAUUCAAACUCACUUUGCGACGUGCCCUACGGAUGCCACUGAUGAUGUGAUCCAGACACAUGCUCGUGUCUACAUGUGGAUCACAGAUAGUGCAGGCAUUGGUGGUAAUAUGCUUCUACUUUCUGUAUGGAGCUGGGAGCGUCUGCCUGUUGGACGCACGAAGAGCGUCAGGUUUAAUCCUUGGUAUGAAGAUGAACAUGACGAAUUACGGCGCCCCACUUGGGCUUACAAGUGGGAUGUGGUUUCCGAGAUGACGAACGAUGUCAAUCUCAUGUACCAGAAGUACGUUGCCGAGUUGGACACGAUUACGCCUGAGCAGGUGGAAUGGCAGCCAUAUGGCGCCGAUGAGAGACUUGGGUACACCCCGGAGUUUAGCAUCAACCCGAUGUGCUUGCGGGAUAGGGAUCUCUGGCUUAUGCGGUGCCCACUGAUAUGCAACUGGGCUGUUCAGUUUCAUUUGCCACAUCGCGUGUUUUGUCAGUUUGGUCUGUUCCAGCCUCACCCGCCGGAAUGGGUGGAUACGGACAAAGCACUUCAUAGGUUGGACAUGAGAAGGCAGCGGAAGAUAAAGGACUGGGACAAGCAUCAUGCUUCGUAUGUUACCCGCUUCCAGCUUUGCGUGGAGCAAGCUCGUAGCAGUGCACGCGCCCAGCUUCUUGAGAUAUGCCCGCCAGCAUAUAAUGAGGAUAUUCUUGAAGAACCCGUAAACUUUGAGGAUCUAUCGAAGGGGAAGUACAACAGAGAUGUCAGGGUAGGGCAAGGAGUCCCUGCUGUUCCGGUGAUUAACUAUGUGCGCACCGAGAUCAAGAAAGCAGCUGAUGAGAGCCAGUCUAUUCUCGAGAACACACCGGUUGGAAAAGGCAAUGAUGAUGGUUCACUACGAGCAUUCCUCAAGCGUCAGGCCAAGAAGUUAAGGCGGUUAUCGAAUCUUCUCGGUUGCCGUGAUCCUGAAUUUGAUGAACCAUCUGCCUCUAGGUCUGGUACACCAUCAGACCCCUCAUCUCACCAUCAGGGGGACGAUGUGAGUUCCUCAUAUGCUUAUCUGGAUGAUGAUGGCGUGGUCACCCAAGAGGGCCAUGAGCUUGAUGAUGACAUGACUUUGGCGGACGCUCAACUUCGGUCCCCAUAUGUGUUCAAGCCUAGGCAGCCUAGAUGCUGGUACACGCCCAACGACUUUGACAACAGAGGCAACCCAAAGGUGGUCGUAGGGACCUCGCGGAUGGCUAGCUUGGAUGAUGAGGCGGAGGCGGAGGCGGAGGAGGAAGUGCAGGAAGAGGAGCCUCGUCCACCCAGGAAGAAGAAGAUUGCCUGCAGUCUAGCACCAGCCAACCCUAGAGCACAACCUUGGAGCUGGCUUGAUUCGUCGAGCCGUCGCCGUAGAUCUCCUGGCAUUGAUCUGUUUCUCUACUUUGUGAUCCUGUGGAUACGUGGGCAUGAUUUCUGCGAUCUAUUGUGA
rnacentral:rRNA from 1 species